AUGAUAGAGCUAUUGAUGUCCAAGUUUGAAUGUGACACUGCAUGGAGAGUGGUACUAGUUUCUCCUUUUAAUUGCUGCUGCCUCAUGGAAUCUUUACAUAUUGUAGCAUUGAAGACAUUAGAAACUGCACAGGUCCAAAUUCUUUCAUUUUGUAAGUUUGUACUUAAAAUACUUGAUUUUUUCUUCUUUUUAUUGGUUAGAAAGGUGGGUGUAUAUGUAUUGUAUUUUAUUCUAUAUCACAAUAAAGAAAAACAAUUUUUUUGUUAUUUUUACUUCUGUUUAUGUUGUUAUUAUUAUUAUCAUUACUUUAUUUUACCAAAUUAUUGA